AGUAACGGCGAGUGAAGCGGCAACAGCUCAAAUUUGGAAUCUGGCCUCUUUGGGGUCCGAGUUGUAAUUUGUAGAGGAUGUUUCGGGUACCGCCUCGGUUUAAAUUUCUUGGAACAGAAUGUCAAAGAGGGUGAGAAUCCCGUCUUGGACCGGCGGUAGGGCCCAUGUGAAACUCCUUCGACGAGUCGAGUUGUUUGGGA
rnacentral:rRNA from 1 species